ACUGGCCAGUGAAAACAAAUCCACCCCAAGACACCUGUUGGAGGAGGCUAGAUCUGUCUUGCUGUACCUGAUGGUCUUGUUCUCCACACACCUUGUGAGUGAAGCUGCCCACACCAUGUCUUUCACAGCCCUUCUAGCUGAUGUCACCUCUACCUGAGUCAUGCAGGCAUUGUUGGGGUUGUUGUGGUGGGAAGACUAGUUUGGGGUCUUGGUUUUACCACUUAUGGAGAAAGUCAUUUGACCUCUUAAGCUUCAUCCUCCUUAUAUGGAAAAGGAAAAUAAUAACCAGUGCUUCAUGGCACUGCUGAGAAGAUUGAAUAAGGUGAUAGGAUGGUGACAAUGACCCCCCACCCAGUGAGAAAGCGGAAAAUUGCACCUGCUCUCUCAUCUGUGGGGAUGGAUUUCUGUGGAAAGAGUCACUCCCCUUUCUGGGAGUCCAUUCUGUGCGAUGAUUGUGGGCCAGUGUGCUGUAUAGUUUGUGAGGUCACAGAAGUCCUUGGAGGUCAGAAUCCCAGCCCUCACUCCAGUAGCACCAGCAUUCACCACUCUGUUCUUCUUAACCAGGGAACCCCAAAGCCCCUCUCAACUCUUCCAAUGUGAAGCUUGGAGAGCUUGGAGAGGCUCCACAGCCUGUGGCAGCAGGAAGACACACAGAUGUUGGGAAAAGGAGAGAUGGUCCCAGGCAUUUUGAAGAAAGUGCUAAUCAAUGUCCUAAUGGAAGGUGGCCCCUGGGACUGCCCACCUCAUUGCUCUGGACAGAAAGAGAUUGGCCCAGCACCCCUGCCCUGCAGUGGACACUCUGGCAGCUGAAGUCUGCCAGGAACUCAGGGCUCUGGAGCCACAACCUGGAGGCUCAGGCUCACACUCCACCGCCUCUGGUGGUGCCCUGUCAGCUCCCUGGCCCUCACGUUCCUUUUGUGUGAAUUGAGCAUGACAACAAUGUCUAUAUGAUGUGGCUGUUGAAUAAAUUAAAUAAAAUGCACAUGUACGUUAGUCAGCCAAGAGCCCAGCACACAGUAGUCCCUGAACACGUUAGUGGGGACUCCUCCCGUUGCCUUUGGUCCCUCUCUUUCGUGGCUGCAAUAUAGCCCUGCUGGUCUUAGCUGGUUUAAGUGUGGUAAAUGCUGUGCAUAAAGACGUGAGAUGAUAGAUGCGCGUGACUGAACCACUGAUGGUUUUAGAUAGAGUGGACAGGGGUGGUCCCUUUGAGGAGGUAACAUCUGAACUGAGGUGGUUUUUUUUGGUUUGUUUUUUAUUUUUGUGCUGGAGAUUGAACCCAGGGCUUUCAUGUUGAGCCAGGUCCACCCCACCUCACUUUUUGUGCAUGACAGUGUACUACUAAUACGUUGUUAGAUUGCCCAGGCUGGGCUCGGACUUGUGAUUCUCCUGCCUCAGCUUGCCACAGUGCUGGGAUUACAAGCGUGCACCAUCACACUCAGCUCGAACUGAAAUUUGAAUGCUGAGAAAGAUUGGACAGUGAAAAAACUGGCAGAGGUGGGAAGGUGGAGCAGAAGAAGGGAGUUUCAGUGUGGGGAACAGCAAGCAGAACAAUCCUAAGAGGGGAGCCAGUCCAGCAUCUUCAAAGUGCGGGGAGACGGGGGCAUAAUAAAUGAGGAAGAGUGCAGAGUGUGCUGGAGGUGUAUUCAGGGGCUCGGUUCAGGGCCUGGCAGAGCAGAAAAGGAAAGACUGCUCCUGAGUAAGGGGACGAGGGAAUGGCCCCUGGAACUGAGAUUCUGGGAAUGCCUUUCCCAGGCUUCUUGCCUUCUUCAGCUCUGGGGGACAUCCAGACAACUAAAUCUGAUAUUCUGUGGCACAUUGGAGGGUAUGAAAGGAUCUAAGAACUCUCCCAGGGACAGAAAAAAAAUAUAAGAAGUCGAGUGUGGUGGCACAUACCUGUAAUCCCAGCAC